GGGCCCAUAGCUCAGCGGUAAGAGCAACCGGCUCAUAACCGGACGGUCCCUGGUUCGAAUCCAGGUGGGCCCACCC
rnacentral:tRNA from 1 species